GGCGAACGCUGGCGGCGUGCUUAACACAUGCAAGUCGAACGGAAAGGCCCUGCUUUUGUGGGGUGCUCGAGUGGCGAACGGGUGAGUAACACGUGAGUAACCUGCCCUUGACUUUGGGAUAACUUCAGGAAACUGGGGCUAAUACCGGAUAGGAGCUCCUGCUGCAUGGUGGGGGUUGGAAAGUUUCGGCGGUUGGGGAUGGACUCGCGGCUUAUCAGCUUGUUGGUGGGGUAGUGGCUUACCAAGGCUUUGACGGGUAGCCGGCCUGAGAGGGUGACCGGCCACAUUGGGACUGAGAUACGGCCCAGACUCCUACGGGAGGCAGCAGUGGGGAAUAUUGCACAAUGGGCGGAAGCCUGGUGCAGCAACGCCGCGUGCGGGAUGACGGCCUUCGGGUUGUAAACCGCUUUCGCCUGUGACGAAGCGUGAGUGACGGUAAUGGGUAAAGAAGCACCGGCUAACUACGUG
rnacentral:rRNA from 1 species